rnacentral:rRNA from 1 species
CGUAGGGGGCGAGCGUUGUCCGGAAUUAUUGGGCGUAAAGAGCGUGUAGGCGGUUCGGUAAGUCUGUCGUGAAAACCUGAGGCUCAGCCUCGGGCGUGCGAUGGAUACUGCCGGGCUAGAGGAUGGUAGAGGCGAGUGGAAUUCCCGGUGUAGCGGUGAAAUGCGCAGAUAUCGGGAGGAACACCAGUAGCGAAGGCGGCUCGCUGGGCCACUCCUGACGCUGAGACGCGAAAGCUAGGGGAGCGAACAGGAUUAGAUACCCUGGUAGUCCUAGCCGUAAACGAUGAACACUAGGUGUGGGGGGAGUCGAAUCCCUCUGUGCCGCAGCUAACGCGAUAAGUGUUCCGCCUGGGGAGUACGGCCGCAAGGCUA